UACUCAUGGUGAUUUGAGGACGGCACAGAGUCAGAUGGAUCAAAGUGGAAGUCGUGCAACGGAGACGGAGUAGUAGUCAUGGCCCAUGAACAUCAUUUUGUGAUUGUGAUGUAUUUGAGUAUUUGACUUUGACAUUUGUUUAUGUAACAACGUACCGUACUUUAAAUGUUCGUUCAAUUUUAAAUUUUAGACUUGAGAGC
rnacentral:lncRNA from 1 species